rnacentral:rRNA from 1 species
AGAACGAACGCUGGCGGCGUGCUUAACACAUGCAAGUCGAACGUGAUUCAGAGCUUGCUCUGAUGAAAGUGGCGCACGGGUGAGUAACGCGUGGAUAACCUGCCCUGGUAUCUGGGAUAACAUCUCGAAAGGGGUGCUAAUACCGGAUAAGCCUCCGGGAUCUUCGGAUUCUGCAGGAAAAGAGGCCUCUAUUUAUAAGCUUUCGUAUCAGGAUGGGUCCGCGUACCAUUAGCUAGUUGGUGGGGUAAUGGCCUACCAAGGCGACGAUGGUUAGCUGGUCUGAGAGGAUGAUCAGCCACACUGGAACUGAGACACGGUCCAGACUCCUACGGGAGGCAGCAGUGGGGAAUUUGC